AGAAAUCAGUUCAGCACUAAGUCACUUUGUCUAUAUGGCAAAUGUGAGAUGCAGUGUAUGGAGCGUCAAUAUUCUAGUAUGAGAAAUUAACGAUUUAAGUCCUUCUUAAAUGAGGCCAUUUACCCAUAGAGGGUGCCAGGCCCGUAUAACGUUAAUGAUUAUUAGAUGAUGUUUCCAAAGAGUCGUGUUGCUUGAUAGUGCAGCACUAAGUGGGUGGUAAACUCCAUCUAAAACUAAAUAUAACCAUGAGACCGAUAGUAAACAAGUACCGUGAGGGAAAGUUGAAAAGAACUCUGAAUAGAGAGUUAAACAGUACGUGAAACUGCUUAGAGGUUAAGCCCGAUGAACCUGAAUAUCCGUUAUGGAAAAUUCAUCAUUAAAGUUGUAAUAUUUUAACAAUAUUAUAAUAAUAGUGUGCAUUUUUUCCAUAUAAGGACAUUGUAAUCUAUUAGCAUAUACCAAAUUUAUCAUAAAAUAUGGCUUAUAGUUUAUUCAAAUUAUUAUGCUUGCAUUUUAACAUAGAAUAAAUGUCAUUAAUUUGAUAAAGUGUUGAUAAAUUAAAAUUAAUACAGUGCGUUAAUUUUUCGAAAUUAUAUAAUGGCAUAAUUAUCAUCGAUAUUUGUGUUUAUUAUAAGCAUUUGUAUGAUUAA
rnacentral:rRNA from 1 species